UACGUAGGUCGCAAGCGUUGUCCGGAUUUACUGGGCGUAAAGAGCGCGCAGGCGGCUGGUCAAGUCCGAUGUGAAAUCUCCCGGCUCAACUGGGAAACUGCAUCGGAAACUGAUCGGCUUGAAGAUGGGAGAGGGUAGUGGAAUUCCCGGUGUAGUGGUGAAAUGCGUAGAUAUCGGGAAGAACACCGGUGGCGAAGGCGGCUCUCUGGACCUGUCCUGACGCUCAGGCGCGAAAGCUAGGGGAGCGAACAGG
rnacentral:rRNA from 1 species